AGACCUCGGCUCUGUUAUCCUUCAUUCACCGCCUGUGGGAGUUUUGCACUGCAAGUCGUGGAGAAUGGCACGUCCAGCACGGAGUAUUUUCAGAGGUGCACCUACCCUGGAAUCUGCAAUUCCUCCUUUUCCUUUAACUUUGAGGUCCUCAGUGCCAAUCUCAAUGCCCAGUGCUGCACGACAAGCCUCUGCAUCCCGGUGAACUCAGUAACAGUGUCUCCACAAACUCUGAAUUCUCUGACGUGCUAUUUUGGAGUAAACGGCAACAUCAAUGGGACUAUCCAGUGUAAAGGAAGUGAAACUCUGUGCUUCACAAUUGGAUUGAAUAGCACAGGAAUUAUCAGAGGAUGCACUUCAAAGAGUGGCUGUGACAACUAUGAAACAGUCAUCGGCUUCUUUGAUGACACCCCGACAACAAAACCCACGUGCUGCAGUGAAAACUUAUGCAAUAGCAGCUGGAGGCCAAGAUGGAGUCCCAUUUUGUAUCUGCUUGUGCUGACAGCAGUGACCUUCUUUUACUAAAUUUGUGCAGACCUAAGAUGGUCAUGGAAGGCUGGCCUCUGUCACCUGGCACCCCAUUGAUUCUGC